UUUAUCAAAAGAGAUGCAUCAUCAUAUGUUAAAUAAGUGAAACAAUUUUAUUCAACGAUUGUUUCAUGUCUUAUCUUUCUAUUUUCUUCUAUUAUCACAUCAUCUUUAAUCCUUUCUUUUUGGCUUUAGCUUUAGCUUUGACUUUGGCUUUGGACUACCAGGAUCAUGCGACGAUCUUUUAUUCGGAUCGAUUUCUGUGAUCUUCCUCGGAUCGAAAUAUUUAUAAUCUUUCUCGGAUCAAAGUGGCCAUGAUCUUUUUCGAAUCAAAUCAUUCAUGAUCUUUCUCAGAUCAGAUUCUUCAUGAUCUUUCUCGGAUCAUAUUCUUCCACACAUAAGCCUGUGGGGGCUGUCCCAGGCAUAAGCUCCUGGCAAGCUAUUCCACAUGACAAGGCCAGUCCAAACCAUAUUUUUCUUUCUUUUUAUUUUCAUAAAAUUAUAAUAUUUGACUUCAUUAAUCAAUUCAAAUUUUUGCAAUGUAAUAAAUAUGCCAUACCCAUAUAAUCAUGUCAUCAAUCGCUGAUACAUUUUAUUGAUAUAGCAUACUCAUGCUCAAAAUCACAUAAAUAAAUAACAAUAUCUCAGAUAUAACAAAUUUAUCGAUCUCAAAUCCAACGAUGCAAAACCAAUGAGAUAAAACCAACGAUAAAAUAACAUAUAUAAUGAUGAUCAUGUACAGAGAUUCUUACCUUUACCGGUGACUGAUCCAAGCACAAAAAUCAAUAUUUUUCUUUGAUUUAUGAAUUCUUUAACAAAAUAUUUCACUCGAUAUCAUUUGCAAGCAAUCAUCUCUUCAUAAUCCUGAUCAAGUAUAAAGAUCAUAUAUGGAGAAAAUUACCGAUAAUCGAUC
rnacentral:lncRNA from 1 species